rnacentral:rRNA from 1 species
CCCUACGGGGUGCCCUUGAUGUGAUUGAAAAGUACGGUUUACAGGAUAAAAUUCCGGAUACCAUAUCUGAAAUAUUAAUAAAAGGUUCAGAAGGAGAAAUCAGAGAAACGCCUAAAAAAGGGGAUCCGGUAUUUGAAAGGGUAGAAAACAUCAUUAUCGGAAGCAAUAAAAUAGCCCUAGAAGCUGCCGCCAGGAGGGCCACCCAAUUGGGUUUCGAAGCAAUCGUCUGGUCAUCUGAAAUUCAGGGUGAAGCCCAGAACGUGGCGCGAUGGCUGGCGCAAAAAGCCAUAGAUAUCAGGAAACGAAAAGCGGAUGGUAAAAAAAUUUGUUUGAUGUCAGGCGGGGAGACAACGGUAACCGUGCGUGGAACUGGAAUUGGCGGGAGGGC